rnacentral:rRNA from 1 species
CCUACGGGGGGCAGCAGUGGGGAAUAUUGGACAAUGGGGGGAACCCUGAUCCAGCCAUGCCGCGUGUGUGAAGAAGGCCCUCGGGUUGUAAAGCACUUUCAGUGAGGAAGAACACCUGGUGGUUAAUACCCAUCAGGAAAGACAUCACUCACAGAAGAAGCACCGGCUAACUCCGUGCCAGCAGCCGCGGUAAUACGGAGGGUGCGAGCGUUAAUCGGAAUUACUGGGCGUAAAGCGCGCGUAGGUGGCUUGAUAAGCCGGUUGUGAAAGCCCCGGGCUCAACCUGGGAACGGCAUCCGGAACUGUCAAGCUAGAGUGCAGGAGAGGAAGGUAGAAUUCCCGGUGUAGCGGUGAAAUGCGUAGAGAUCGGGAGGAAUACCAGUGGCGAAGGCGGCCUUCUGGACUGACACUGACACUGAGGUGCGAAAGCGUGGGUAGCAAACAGGAUUAGAUACCCUAGUAGUC